UGGGGAAUAUUGCACAAUGGGCGCAAGCCUGAUGCAGCCAUGCCGCGUGUAUGAAGAAGGCCUUCGGGUUGUAAAGUACUUUCAGCGGGGAGGAAGGUGUUGUGGUUAAUAACCACAGCAAUUGACGUUACCCGCAGAAGAAGCACCGGCUAACUCCGUGCCAGCAGCCGCGGUAAUACGGAGGGUGCAAGCGUUAAUCGGAAUUACUGGGCGUAAAGCGCACGCAGGCGGUCUGUCAAGUCGGAUGUGAAAUCCCCGGGCUCAACCUGGGAACUGCAUCCGAAACUGGCAGGCUUGAGUCUUGUAGAGGGGGGUAGAAUUCCAGGUGUAGCGGUGAAAUGCGUAGAGAUCUGGAGGAAUACCGGUGGCGAAAGCGGCCCCCUGGACAAAGACUGACGCUCAGGUGCGAAAGCGUGGGGAGCAAACA
rnacentral:rRNA from 1 species